UGGACUGUCCUGAAAUGCCAACUGGCUGUCAAUGUCAUCCAUCAAGGGUGGAGAAAGGACUCACUGUGACAGACACCUGUGCUUUGAAGAAAGGAAAUGUCUGUGAGAUGAGAGACUGUUUGGAAAGGAAGGGAUACUUUUGUGCCCUUUGAGCUACUGAAAAUGCUGUUGGGAGAGCAGCUCCCAGAUCCAAGGGAGCCCAGCAAGGGAAGCAUCAUGGCACAGUGCAGACUGAUGGAAGAGACAGGGACAGACAACCUGACAAAAGUGCAACAUGUCAGAGACACUUCUCCUGGUGCAUAGAGGGAACUGUGGAAUCUGCUGAAACCCAGAAAAUGACUGCGUCAGAACUAAACCAAGCCUAAGAGGAUUUAUUGACCACAACCACGGCAUGUGGAGCUCUGGGGACAUCCUUAACAGUCAAAGGAAAAAUGGAAUUUCUUUGGAAUUACGCUCCUGGACUCAGCUUCACAACAGAGCCCCAGCUUUGUGCUGCGAGGACAUGUGAGAAGGAAAUGCAG